AGAGUUUGAUCCUGGCUCAGGUUGAACGCUGGCGGCAGGCCUAACACAUGCAAGUCGAACGGUAACAGGAAGAAGCUUGCUUCUUUGCUGACGAGUGGCGGACGGGUGAGUAAUGUCUGGGAAACUGCCUGAUGGAGGGGGAUAACUACUGGAAACGGUAGCUAAUACCGCAUAACGUCGCAAGACCAAAGAGGGGGACCUUCGGGCCUCUUGCCAUCGGAUGUGCCCAGAUGGGAUUAGCUAGUAGGUGGGGUAACGGCUCACCUAGGCGACGAUCCCUAGCUGGUCUGAGAGGAUGACCAGCCACACUGGAACUGAGACACGGUCCAGACUCCUACGGGAGGCAGCAGUGGGGAAUAUUGCACAAUGGGCGCAAGCCUGAUGCAGCCAUGCCGCGUGUAUGAAGAAGGCCUUCGGGUUGUAAAGUACUUUCAGCGGGGAGGAAGGGAGUAAAGUUAAUACCUUUGCUCAUUGACGUUACCCGCAGAAGAAGCACCGGCUAACUCCGUGCCAGCAGCCGCGGUAAUACGGAGGGUGCAAGCGUUAAUCGGAAUUACUGGGCGUAAAGCGCACGCAGGCGGUUUGUUAAGUCAGAUGUGAAAUCCCCGGGCUCAACCUGGGAACUGCAUCUGAUACUGGCAAGCUUGAGUCUCGUAGAGGGGGGUAGAAUUCCAGGUGUAGCGGUGAAAUGCGUAGAGAUCUGGAGGAAUACCGGUGGCGAAGGCGGCCCCCUGGACGAAGACUGAUGCUCAGGUGCGAAAGCGUGGGAGCAAAGAGGAUUAGAUACCCUGGUAGUCCACGCCG
rnacentral:rRNA from 1 species